UUGUUCCUACGGGGCGCAGCAGUGAGGAAUAUUGGUCAAUGGGCGGGAGCCUGAACCAGCCACGCCGCGUGAGGGAAGACGGCCCUAUGGGUUGUAAACCUCUUUUGUCGGAGAACAAAACCCGGGACGUGUCCCGGACUGCGUGUAUCCGAAGAAAAAGCAUCGGCUAACUCCGUGCCAGCAGCCGCGGUAAUACGGAGGAUGCGAGCGUUAUCCGGAUUUAUUGGGUUUAAAGGGUGCGUAGGCGGUCCGUUAAGUCAGCGGUAAAAUUGCGGGGCUCAACCCCGUCGAGCCGUUGAAACUGG
rnacentral:rRNA from 1 species